rnacentral:rRNA from 1 species
UGGUCAAGUUAUUAAGGGUGCAGGGCGGAUGCCUUGGCACUAGGAGCCGAUGAAGGACGUGAUAAGCUGCGAUAAGCUUCGGGGAGUUGCACGUAAACUUUGAUCCGAAGAUUUCCGAAUGAGGAAACUCACUUAGAGUAAUGUCUAAGUAUCAUUAAGUGAAUACAUAGCUUAAUGAGGGGAACUCAGGGAACUGAAACAUCUAAGUACCUGAAGGAAGAGAAAGAAAUUCGAUUCCGUAAGUAGCGGCGAGCGAACGCGGAUUAGCCCAAACCAAUAAAGUUUUCUUUAUUGGGGUUGCGGACAUAUCAUAACGAAGAGGUAUCGUAAUUGAAGAGGUUUGGAAAGACCUACCACAGAAGGUAAUAGUCCUGUAUGUUAAACGAGAAGACUUUAGAUAUGAUCCAGAGUACCACGGGACACGUGAAACCCUGUGGGAAGCAGGAGGGACCACCCUCCAAGGCUAAAUACUACCUAGUGACCGAUAGCGUAUAGUACCGUGAGGGAAAGGUGAAAAGAACCCCGGGAGGGGAGUGAAAUAGAACCUGAAACCCUGCACUUACAAGCUGUGGAAGCACAUUUCUUGUGUGACCGCGUACUUUUUGUAGAACGGGCCAACGAGUUACGUUAAGUAGCAAGGUUAAGCACUUAAGGUGCGGAGCCGUAGCGAAAGCGAGUUUUAACUGAGCGUUCAGUUACUUGACGUAGACCCGAAACCGGGCGACCUACCCAUGAGCAGGAUGAAGCGAAAGUAAAAUUUCGUGGAGGUCCGAACCCACGAGCGUUGAAAAGCUCGGGGAUGACUUGUGGGUAGCGGUGAAAUUCCAAUCGAGCCCGGAGAUAGCUGGUUCUCCCCGAAAUAGCUUUAGGGCUAGCCUCAAGGUGAGAGAUACGGAGGUAGAGCACUGAAUGUCCUAGGGGGUAUUGCACCUACCGAAGACUAUCAAACUCCGAAUGCCGUCAUCUUAUACUUGGGAGUCAGACUGUGGGUGAUAAGAUUCAUAGUCGAAAGGGCAACAGCCCAGAUCGUCAGCUAAGGUCCCUAAAUGUAAGUUAAGUGGUAAAGGAUGUGGGAUUGCACAGACAACCAGGAUGUUGGCUUAGAAGCAGCCACUCAUUCAAAGAGUGCGUAAUAGCUCACUGGUCGAGUGAUCCUGCGCCGAAGAUUUCCGGGGCUAAAACUUACUACCGAAGCUACGGCAUCAGUAAUGAUGGGUAGGGGAGCUUCCCAUACGGGUUGAAGCAUGACCGUAAGGAUAUGUGGACAGUAUGGGAGUGAGAAUGUUGGCAUGAGUAGCGAGAUGUGGGUGAGAAUCCCACAGGCCGUAAACCCAAGGUUUCCAGGGGAAGGUUCGUCCGCCCUGGGUUAGUCGGGACCUAAGCUGAGGCCGAAAGGCGUAGGUGAUGGACAACAGGUUGAUAUUCCUGUACUACCGAUAACCGUUUGAGAGAAGGGAUGACACAGUAGGAUAAGCUAAGCACACUGUUGGUUAUGUGUGCCCAAGCAUUGAGGCAGUCAAAGUAGGCAAAUCCGCUUUGAUAAUGCUGGGAUGUGAUGGGGAGCGAAAUUUAGUAGCGAAGUAGCUGAUUUCACACUGUCAAGAAAAGUCUCUAUCGAGGUUAAAGGUACCCGUACCGCAAACCGACACAGGUGGGUGAGGAGAGUAUCCUAAGGCCAGCGAGAGAACUGUUGUUAAGGAACUCGGCAAAAUGACCCCGUAACUUAGGGAUAAGGGGUGCCACCAUCAGGUGGCCGCAGAGAAUAGGCCCAAGCGACUGUUUACCAAAAACAUAGGUUUCUGCUAAGUCGCAAGACGAUGUAUAGGAGCUGACGCCUGCCCGGUGCUGGAAGGUUAAGGGGAUCUGUUAGAGCAAUCGAAGCAGUGAACUUAAGCCCCAGUAAACGGCGGCCGUAACUAUAACGGUCCUAAGGUAGCGAAAUUCCUUGUCGGGUAAGUUCCGACCCGCACGAAAGGCGUAACGAUUUGGGCACUGUCUCAACAACAGACUCGGUGAAAUUGUAAUUCCGGUGAAGAUGCCGGAUACCUGCGACAGGACGGAAAGACCCCAUGGAGCUUUACUGUAGCUUGACAUUGGGUCUUGGUACUACAUGUACAGGAUAGGUGGGAGGCUUUGAAACCAGGACGCCAGUUUUGGCGGAGCCAUCCUUGGGAUACCACCCUUGUAGUACUGGGACUCUAACCAUAGGCCAUGAAUCUGGUCUUGGGACACUGUCAGGUGGGCAGUUUGACUGGGGCGGUCGCCUCCCAAAAGGUAACGGAGGCGCUCAAAGGUUCUCUCAGUACGGUCGGAAAUCGUACGUAGAGUGUAAAGGCAAAAGAGAGCUUGAUUGCAAGACAUACAGGUCGAGCAAGGAUGAAAAUCGGACUUAGUGAUCCGGUGGUUCUGCGUGGAAGGGCCAUCGCUCAACGGAUAAAAGCUACCCUGGGGAUAACAGGCUUAUCUCCCCCAAGAGUCCACAUCGACGGGGAGGUUUGGCACCUCGAUGUCGGCUCAUCACAUCCUGGGGCUGUAGUAGGUCCCAAGGGUUGGGCUGUUCGCCCAUUAAAGUGGUACGCGAGCUGGGUUCAGAACGUCGUGAGACAGUUCGGUCCCUAUCCGUCGCAGGCGUAGGAAAUUUGAGAAGACCUGUCCUUAGUACGAGAGGACCGGGAUGGACGUACCUCUGGUGUACCAGUUGUCCUGCCAAGGGCAUGGCUGGGUAGCUAUGUACGGAAUGGAUAAGCGCUGAAAGCAUCUAAGCGCGAAGCCAACUUCAAGAUAAGAUUUCCCACCGCAAGGGUAAGACCCCAGAAAGACUAUCUGGUUGAUAGGUCGAAGGUGUAAGUGCAGCAAUGUAUUUAGCUUAUCGAUACUAAUAGGUCGAGGACUUGACCAAU